CUGUGAUUGGCUGGCCACCAGUCCAGGGUGUACCUCGCCUCUCGCCCGAAGACAGCUGGGAUAGGCUCCAGCAACCCUCGUGAGGAUAAGCGUUGUCCCGGGGGUCGAUGUAACACAGAGGAAGUGCUUUAUUGAGCAGCAGCAGCAGCAGCACGACUUGAUCGAAAAGCCCAAGCAGGAAUGCUGAGAACGACUCCCGUGUAGUCAGCCAUCAAAGCCCAUCGCCCCUAACCUCCACCCACCCAGCUCUGCCCUGGCUAACAACAGCAUCACCCGCUUCCUCUCAUCUGCUGACACGCUUCAAAUCAAAGACCAUCAACUCAUUUAAAUGACAACGCACCAGGACACAAAAUGCAGUUGGUGAAUAAAAUCGAGGAGGUCUUGGAAGUGGUCUUUCCACCGGUCCUCAUCUGGAGUCACCAUCCCCGCCAUACACCAUGUUUCCCGUCCUUAGAAAUGGUUCUCGAUGGCUUCCCCCAGUCUUUGCUGCGGCGACCGCUAAGGCUGCAAAACACCAGUCGACAGGACCCAUUCUUCAGCAUGACGGCAUCCCUCACUGCUGAUCUACAGUUGUGUAUUUUUGCUUUAUUUUAGUUCCAUCCCACUGUCCUGAACUCAUACUAGAUUGUGUUGAACUUUUGAGGUAUUUUGUGAGCAUGCACACCCACUUGUAAAGCACGUUUCUUCCUUCCCUUCCUCUUGCCUGCUGUUUUUCCAUGGCUCAUACAUCCUUAAUUGCCCCCCAGGAGAGAGCUGCCAUCGUUCCUGCUGACAAGUUGUCUGAGAAGGACCCAGCCGAGCUUUCAGAUGAACUAUUAAAAUGUUCAACAAAACAAGUGUACCACUA